AAACCAGACCUGCGCACAGCCCUCGUCUCCGUGACAGUCUUCCAUCCGUCGCGCGUCCCCACCACACCUUGGGCCGCCGGCUGCUGGCUCAAAGGGCCUUCGGCCCCCCGGCAGCUACUCCACGCCUCUGCUGGCCGCACUGCACGGCCCCCUGCUCGGUCACUGCUCGCAACCCGACUGCAGCAGCCGCGGCAUUCCAGAGCCUGAUUUACGGCUGUGGGAGGGAAGCCAAGUCGCCUGAAGAGGAACACGGGUGAAAUCACACUGGCUAAGUGCCUAGGGCCUGCCAGGUGUCAAGCCACGAGGCAACACUCUGACCCCAACCUACCAGAAGACAGAAAAGCUAACCGACAGCGCUUAAUGUGUGCCAAGUCCCUUCACACCCCUCUCUUCUCCUGGGCUCUCAGCUGCCAUCCAAGGAGGGAGACUUUUCCAGAUGAGAAUCUGGAGCAUCAGAGCAGCUGGCGCAGAAUGCAGCACCUCAAUACAAUGCUCUAGGGUUUUGGGGCUUUUAAGGACCAUUGCUCUUGUCUCCUACCACCACUGAAACUGGCCCCGUCAGGAGCACAUGCCAGCCUAGAUGCAGAACAAACCGGUGACAAAUGGUCUGCUCGCUGCAAGGUCGUAUGUGUACUUCUCAGAUCCAGCUUGGAAAAGUCUUGAUUCUUCCUUUCUUUACCAACUGUUUCAUCCAUGUGAGUUGUCAGUUUCUAUAUAGAAAUAAAUGAAACUCUCCCAUUAGGAUUACACUUUUGGAAUUUCUUAUAAAUCUGUCAAUUUUUGCUUGAUGCAUGUUGAGAUAUUGUUUUUUGAUAUUCCAAGCUGUGCUAAGUGCAUACGGAUCAUAAUUGCAGACUGAACCUAUUUAUUAUUCCACAUUUUCCCAAAAACAUCAUUUGCUUUCUAUUCUAUGUGUAAACCCAUUUGAAGUUUCACGAAAAUAGAUGAUUGAAAGAGGAGAUUGGCCAACAAAAAUAAAAGCACAGCAAAGAUUUUAUUUUUGUUCUUUCUCUUUACUUUUUCCUGCAUCCCUCUGGGUUACUUGAACAUUUCUUAGGAUUCUAUUUUGGUUUGUCUAUAAAUCUUACAUAUUAUAAUUGUAUAUAAUUUUAUCUGUAACUAACCACAGCCUAUUGGUAUAGACCUUUUACCAAUCUGCAUAAAGUGUAGAAAGCUUACCUUCCUGUUUCUACCAUUUAUAAAAUAAUUAUCUUAAAUAUUUCCUUGUCAUAUAUUGGUUACCACAUCACGUAAUGUUUUCAUUUUUACUUCAACAAUCAAACA
rnacentral:lncRNA from 1 species